rnacentral:rRNA from 1 species
GACGAACGCUGGCGGCGUGCCUAAUACAUGCAAGUCGAGCGAAUCUGAGGGAGCUUGCUCCCAAAGAUUAGCGGCGGACGGGUGAGUAACACGUGGGCAACCUGCCCGUAAGAUUGGGAUAACUCCGGGAAACCGGUGCUAAUACCGAAUAGUUUCUCGUACCACAUGGUACGAGAGGGAAAGUUGGCUUUUAGCUAACACUUACGGAUGGGCCCGCGGCGCAUUAGCUAGUUGGGGAGGUAACGGCUCACCAAGGCGAGGAUGCGUAGCCGACCUGGGAGGGUGAUCGGCCAGACUGGGACUGGGACUCGGCCCAGACUCCUACGGGAGGCAGCAGUAGGGAAUCUUCCGCAAUGGACGAAAGUCUGACGGAGCAACGCCGCGUGAGCGAAGAAGGCCUUCGGGUCGUAAAGCUCUGUUGUCAGGGAAGAACAAGUACCGUUCGAAUAGGGCGGUACCUUGACGGUACCUGACCAGAAAGCCACGGCUAACUACGUGCCAGCCGCCGCGGUAA